CCUACGGGUGGCAGCAGUGGGGAAUAUUGCACAAUGGGGGAAACCCUGAUGCAGCGACGCCGCGUGAGUGAAGAAGUAUUUCGGUAUGUAAAGCUCUAUCAGCAGGGAAGAAAAUGACGGUACGUGAAGAAUAAGCUCCGGCUAACUACGUGCCAGCAGCCGCGGUAAUACGUAGGGAGCAAGCGGUGUUCGGAAUGACUGGGCGUAAAGGGUGCGUAGGAGGUUAUACAAGUUAGAAGUGAAAUACCCAGGGACUAACUGGUGUGCUGCCUCUAAAACUGUAAGACUUGAGUGCAGUAGCGGUUAGUGGAAUUCGUAGUGUAGCGGUGGAAUGCGUAGAUAUUAGGAGGAACACCAGAGGCGAAGGCGGCUAACUGGACUGCAACUGACGCUGAGGCACGAAAGUGUGGGGAGCAAACAGGAUUAGAUACCCUAGUAGUC
rnacentral:rRNA from 1 species